rnacentral:lncRNA from 1 species
AAUAACUAAUGAAUACCUUUUUAAAUGUAAUACAACACCCGGCUACAGAGUUCCUCCUGCUUUGUAUUGGUUGGUGAAACCUGUCACCCGGACAACAGGAUACAAAGAUAAAAUGAGAUACAGCUUGUACCUUGUAUCCUACAAUUAAACCACAACUUCCUUGUUCCUCCAGUGAGGUCAGCAAACGCAGCAGUCUGUUAUUCCUGGAAUAUACAUACACACAUGUAACAUUUAAAAGAAAUUUAUUUCUUCUCUUUCAAGACAAAUCUAUGAUCAAAACAGCAGGAUGAGGAGGAUGAGUGUCUUCCCACAGCAUGUCACGGCUCUGGGAAACUUGGGACGAACUGUGAACGAAAUCCGGCAGGAAGCUGAGAAGGGUAAAUCUGAACUGGUAUCUGACCUGGUUAGCCUUUCAGCCGGAGCCAGAAUUCAAGCCAUACGAUCAUUACCU